rnacentral:rRNA from 1 species
GUCGGGAAUUUUGGGCAAUGGGCGAAAGCCUGACCCAGCAACGCCGCGUGAAGGAUGAAGUAUUUCGGUAUGUAAACUUCGAAAGAAUGGGAAGAAUAAAUGACGGUACCAUUUAUAAGCUCCGGCUAACUACGUGCCAGCAGCCGCGGUAAUACGUAGGGAGCAAGCGUUGUUCGGAUUUACUGGGCGUAAAGGGCGCGUAGGCGGCGCGGUAAGUCACUUGUGAAAUCUCUGAGCUUAACUCAGAACGGCCAAGUGAUACUGCAGUGCUAGAGUGCAGAAAGGGCAAUCGGAAUUCUUGGUGUAGCGGUGAAAUGCGUAGAUAUCAAGAGGAACACCUGAGGCGAAGGCGGGUUGCUAGGCUGACACUGACGCUGAGGCGCGAAAGCCAGGGGAGCAAACGGGAUUAGAAACCCCUGUAGUCC